AUGAUAGCCAUUAGCGUAGACAGCCAACGUUAGCAAGUGGACAGACUGGAGAGUAUUUCAGGACCGUCUGCAACUACAAAAAGUGUAGUAAUUUAAAUGGGGGAAACCAACAAGAAAACUUACACUGGGCAGAAAAAAAACAUAUGGUGGAGUAAUUAAUCAAACCCGUUGGGAGGCUGGAGUGAUACAGUGAGGAUUUACUUGGAUUUAUUACCCAAAGAAAGAGAGGGAGGGAAAGAAAGAAAACUACCGAGAGAAAGUGACAGUUGGGGCAGUGGAGGUGAGUGAAGCGCUUACCAUUGAGAGGGGUCAAAGAUGACUGUUGUAUCCCGUGAGAACCAGGACGAGACUGUGGUAGUUGCUCCCCUGUACCAAGAUGAUUGCGACGUGGAGCUGGGCGAUCAGGAGUGUAGCGAGAGGGUCGUCAUCAACAUCUCCGGGCUGCGGUUCGAAACUCAACUGAAGACCCUCGCGCGCUUUCCCUCUACACUCUUGGGAGACCCACGUAAAAGGAUGCGCUUCUUCGAUCCUUUGAGAAAUGAGUACUUUUUCGACAGGAAUAGACCCAGCUUUGAUGCCAUCCUUUAUUAUUACCAGUCUGGAGGAAGGCUUAGGAGACCUGUCAACGUUACCAUGGACAUUUUCAUGGAAGAAAUAACAUUUUAUGAAAUCGAAGAGGAGGCCAUAGAGAUGUUCAAAGAAGAUGAAGGUAUGAUCAGAGAGGUGGAACGUCCGAUGCCUGACAACGAGUUUCAGCGCCACAUGUGGUUGUUGUUUGAGUACCCGGAGAGCUCGGGGCCUGCCCGGAUGAUCGCUGUUGUAUCAGUCAGUGUGAUUUUGAUAUCCAUAGUGAUCUUCUGUUUGGAGACUUUGCCACGGUUCAGGGAAGAUCACAGCACAGACAUACAACUCAGUAAUCACCUCACCAAGAAUGGGACUACUCAACACAAAAAAAACAAUCUGUUGACAGACCCGUUUUUCAUAGUUGAGUCACUUUGCAUCGUGUGGUUUUCCUUUGAAUUUCUCAUGAGGUUUUUAUCGUGCCCCAGCAAACCGGGUUUCUUCAAAAACGCCAUGAACGUCAUCGACAUCUUAGCGAUUGCUCCUUAUUUCAUCACCCUUGGCCUUGACCUCGCAGAGCUACAGGGACCGGGAAGCGAGCAGGCCACGUCGUUAGCCAUACUCAGAGUCAUCCGUUUGGUUCGAGUCUUCAGGAUUUUCAAACUUUCCAGGCACUCCAAGGGUCUCCAAAUCUUGGGUCAGACACUCAACGCCAGCAUCAGCGAACUAGCGCUUUUGAUAUUCUUUCUUCUCAUAGGGGUUAUUCUGUUCUCCAGCGCCGCUUACUUUGCAGAGGCAGACGACCCUGAAUCGGGAUUCACGAGUAUCCCCGCCGCAUUUUGGUGGGCGGUGGUGUCCAUGACUACGGUUGGAUAUGGAGACAUGUGCCCAGUUACUAUUGGCGGCAAAAUAGUGGGAUCUUUGUGUGCCAUCGCCGGAGUGCUGACCAUAGCCCUACCUGUCCCUGUCAUCGUUUCCAAUUUUAAUUACUUCUAUCACAGAGAACGUAAUGAUGAGGAAACCGCCGUGUAUACCCACGUGACUUGUGGUCAACAGAACGCUUCAUUUGGGGAAUUCAAAUCGACCAGCGACAGCAAACAGUCCCUCGACAAAUCAGAGUACAUUGAAGAUGAUUCUUUCGAGACUAUCAGAUUUACUAACUUCAGCCCAUUUGAACAUUACACUGGCAAGCUGACGGAUGUAUGAAAAAACAAGCAUCUGCCUAGCUGAGCAGAAAAACCUAUCUCGGUGAGUAGCCAGCCUGAGUACAUUUACGCGCGCUUUUACGCAAUAUCUCUUUUACUCUCAAUAGUUUGAAUUAAUUUGUUGGAUACCUUCAGUUGGCCUAUAGCUUCAUCACAGUCAGUGUCCGGCCUAUGUGUAUGUUUGAAUAAUUACGCGCGGUUUUACGCACGCUAUUACGCACAGUGUUUGUUGACAUAUCAUCUUAAAAUAGCUGGAAUUAAUUUGUUUGACAGCUUCAAUAGGCCUAAAACUGUAUUACAGGUCAAUAGCAUACAGUGUUCAGUGGCCACAACAACUUUUAAAACUGGGUUGCUUUUGGAUAGUUUAUAGAAUUUCUGAACUCGGAGCGCCACUGUGUGGUUGAAACGCAGUCGUGCAGCAGAUGCUUCUCAGGUCAAAGACCAUUGCCUUUCUGCUCCAGUUGAAACGAAAUGCAGGCUUAUUCCAGAUAUACUUGUAACUUGAAAAAGUGAAGAUAGAGAACAAAAAAACGCACAUGACAUGUCUCCAUGAACUAUUGGCCAGCAAUGUGAGAUGACAGGUGCUGCUACAUCAUCCAAUGGAGAGCUCUGCAUUUAGGAAACGGAUCAUCUUUGAAAAUCAAUGAACCUUUCAAAGUAUUUUGCAAUGUAUUCAAUGAACUCUGAAAGAACUACUGUAGAUAUCCUGUCGUGUAUUGUUGUAAAUAGGCCUGUAUUGUAAAUUCGAUCCUUGUGCUCAGCUCAGAAUCUUAAUGCGAACAUAUCUUGCUCUGUGUGCCUUUAUGUGGAUGAUUUCAAAGGAACUAUUUGUGUAGUCCUUUAUUUUAUUUAACUAUUUAUUGUACAGAAAUUCCGAUUUUGCUAGAAACGUUUCUUGGGAAGCUAGUUUUAAAAUAACUUACCCAUAGGAAUCUUAUUAAGUCUGCAUGUAAGGAGACAUCAAUUGUGCUAAAAAAAAUGUCAUGAAGAUAUAUUUCUAUUUUUGUAAGAUUGUAAAAAUGUAUGUGAACUUUUGAACAAUAUUUUUUAAUAA